UACGUAGGUCGCAAGCGUUGUCCGGAUUUACUGGGCGUAAAGAGCGCGCAGGCGGCUGGUCAAGUCCGAUGUGAAAUCUCCCGGCUCAACUGGGAAACUGCAUCGGAAACUGAUCGGCUUGAAGAUGGGAGAGGGUAGUGGAAUUCCCGGUGUAGUGGUGAAAUGCGUAGAUAUCGGGAGGAACACCAGUGGCGAAGGCGACUACCCGGCCCAACACUGACACUGAGGAGCGAAAGCCAGGGGAGCAAACGGG
rnacentral:rRNA from 1 species